rnacentral:miRNA from 1 species
AUAUAUAUAUAUAUAUGUGUGUGUGUGUGUGUGUGUGUGUGUGUAUACAUACAUACUGACAUAAAAGCUUCAUGUGGAACCAAAU